rnacentral:rRNA from 1 species
GACGAACGCUGGCGGCGUGCCUAAUACAUGCAAGUCGAACGCAUUUUCUUUCACCGUAGCUUGCUACACCGAAAGAAAAUGAGUGGCGAACGGGUGAGUAACACGUGGGUAACCUGCCCAUCAGCGGGGGAUAACACUUGGAAACAGGUGCUAAUACCGCAUAAUUCCAUUUACCGCAUGGUAGAUGGGUGAAAGGCGCUUUUGCGUCACUGAUGGAUGGACCCGCGGUGCAUUAGCUAGUUGGUGGGGUAACGGCCUACCAAGGCUGCGAUGCAUAGCCGACCUGAGAGGGUGAUCGGCCCACCUGGGACUGAGACACGGCCCAGACUCCUACGGGGGGCAGCAGUAGGGAAUUUUCGGAAAUGGACGAAAGUCUGACCGAGCAACGCCGGGUGAGGGAAGAAGGUUUUCGGAUCUUAAAACUCUGUUUUUAGAGAAAAAAAAGGAUGAGGGUGGAAAGUCCAUCCCUUGACGGUAUUAAACCAAAAAGCCACGGCUAACUCCGU